CCUACGGGUGGCUGCAGUGGGGGAUAGUGCACAAUGGGGGAAACCCUGAUGCAGCGACGCCGCGUGGGUGAAGAAGAGCCUCGGCGCGGAAAGCCCUGUCAGCAGGGAAGAAAAGGACGGUACCUGAAGAAGAAGCCCCGGCUAACUACGGGCCAGCAGCCGCGGUAAUACGUAGGGGGCAAGCGUUAUCCGGAUUGACUGGGUGUAAAGGGGGCGAAGACGGCGAUGCAAGCCAGGAGUGAAAGCCCGGGGCCCAACCCCGGGACUGCUCUUGGAACGGCGUGGCUCGCGUCCAGGAGGGCCCGGCGGCCUUCCUGUUGUCGCGGUUAACUGCGUAGAUAUCCGGA
rnacentral:rRNA from 1 species